UACGAAGGUGGCAAGCGUUACUCGGAAUUACUAGGCGUAAAGGGCAGGUAGGUGGUCUGAUAAGUCUGUUGUGUAAACUUCCGGCUCAACCGGAAGAGGUCAACAGAUACUGUCAGGCUUGAGUAUGGGAGAGGGUACUGGAAUUCCCGGUGUAGCGGUGAAAUGCGCAGAGUUCGGGAGGAACACCAAUGGCGAAAGCAGGUACCUGGACCAUUACUGACACUCAGCUGCGAAAGCUAGGGGAGCAAACAGG
rnacentral:rRNA from 1 species